rnacentral:rRNA from 1 species
UACGAACCGUGCGAACGUUGUUCGGAAUCACUGGGCUUAAAGGGCGCGUAGGCGGUUCAUCAAGUCAGGGUGAAAUCUUUCGGCUCAACCGGAAAAGUGCCCCUGAUACUGAUGAUCUCGAGGGAGGUAGGGGCCUGUGGAACUUCUGGUGGAGCGGUGAAAUGCGUUGAUAUCAGAAGGAACGCCGGUAGCGAAAGCGACGGGCUGGACCUCUUCUGACGCUGAGGCGCGAAAGCCAGGGGAGCAAACGGG